rnacentral:rRNA from 1 species
AUUGAACGCUGGCGGCAUGCCUUACACAUGCAAGUCGAACGGCAGCACGGGGCAACCUGGUGGCGAGUGGCGAACGGGUGAGUAAUGCAUCGGAACGUACCUUUCAGUGGGGGAUAACGUAGCGAAAGUUACGCUAAUACCGCAUAUUCUGUGAGCAGGAAAGCAGGAGAUCGCAAGACCUUGCGCUGAUUGAGCGGCCGAUGUCAGAUUAGCUAGUUGGUGAGGUAAAGGCUCACCAAGGCGACGAUCUGUAGCGGGUCUGAGAGGAUGAUCCGCCAUACUGGCACUGAGACACGGUCCAGACUCCUACGGGAGGCAGCAGUGGGGAAUUUUGGACAAUGGGGGCAACCCUGAUCCAGCCAUGCCGCGUGAGUGAAGAGGGCCUUCGGGUUGUAAAGCUCUUUCGGCCGGGAAGAAAUCGCACGGGCUAAUACCCUGUGUGGAUGACGGUACCGGAAUAAGAAGCACCGGCUAACUACGUGCCAGCCGCCGCAGUAAGAC